rnacentral:rRNA from 1 species
UACGGGGGGGGGCAAGCGUUGUUCGGAAUUACUGGGCGUAAAGGGCUCGUAGGUGGCCAACUAAGUCAUACGUGAAAUCCCUCGGCUUAACCGGGGAACUGCGUCUGAUACUGGAUGGCUUGAGUUCGGGAGAGGGAUGCGGAAUUCCAGGUGUAGCGGUGAAAUGCGUAGAUAUCAGGAAGAACACCCGUGGCGAAAGCGGCUCUCUGGAACGGUACUGACGCUGAGACGCGAAAGCGUGGGGAGCGAACAGG